rnacentral:misc_RNA from 1 species
AAACUGCGAUAAUUAAUGUGAAUUGCAGAAUUCUGUGAAUCAUCAAGACCUUGAACGCAAACUGCGCCUACGGGUCCACCUGUAGGCACGCUUGUUUGAGUGUCGAUUCAUUCACUAUCCCUUUAUUAUUCCUAUUUUUUUUUUAAGUGGGUAAUAAUAAAGGGGAAUUGGAGGUGUGGUUUUUCCUCUUUUUUUUUUAAAAAAAAGAGGGGGGGACCACUCCUUUUAAGUUCAUCUUCGGACUUUGCUUUUCAAAAAAACGAAUCAGUUUCAGCAAAGAGGUCCAGCCAGUAGGUACCAAUACGUUGGUUUAUCGAAAAUUCACAUCUCUCUUGUCUAAAUUUGACAUUCGUUUUUGAAGCAAUAUAAAUCAAGUUCGAAUAAAAGGAAAGAAUCAAAACAACCGAUCAUUUCUCAACAAUUCGACCUCAAAUCAAGUGGGAUUACCCGCUGAAUUUAAGC